GCGCCUGUAGCUCAAAUGGAUAGAGCAACUGCCUUCUAAGCAGUAGGUUGGCCGUUCGAUUCGGCCCAGGCGCACCA
rnacentral:tRNA from 1 species